rnacentral:rRNA from 1 species
UGGGGAAUCUUGCGCAAUGGGCGAAAGCCUGACGCAGCAACGCCGCGUGGGGGAAGAAGGCUUUCGGGUUGUAAACCUCUUUCAGGGGGGACGAAGCCACCGGGGUUAAUAGCCCACGGGGUGACGGUACCCCCAGAAGAAGCCCCGGCUAACUACGUGCCAGCAGCCGCGGUAAUACGUAGGGGGCAAGCGUUGUCCGGAAUCAUUGGGCGUAAAGCGCGUGUAGGUGGCUUGGUAAGUCCGGUGUGAAAACUUUGGGCUCAACCCAAAGCCUGCAUCCGAUGCUGCUGUGACUAGAGUUCGGUAGGGGAGCGGGGAAUUCCUAGUGUAGCGGUGAAAUGCGCAGAUAUUAGGAGGAACACCGGUGGCGAAGGCGCCGCUCUGGGCCGAUACUGACACUGAGGAGCGAAAGCGUGGGUAGCAAACAGGAUUAGAUACCCCUGUAGUCCCUGAGCGGGCUGGCAAGGCGCAU